GGCCCGAUCAGGAGCGGACGUCCGCACUUUCGCUAAAGUGCGGACGUCGAUGCAGCAGGCAGCUUCCAGGCGGCGGCAGUGGCGCAGGGCUGGCCGGAGGGAGGCCUGAGGCGUCCCAAACCUCUUCUGGGCGGCGUUCGAGGUUGGAGGAGGUCGGGCUUGCCGGUUUCUGGGCAGCCACCUCACCUGCAGUUGCAGGUUUUGUGCAGCACAGCAGAACCGUCGCCGGCGACUCCAACGGACGGCAGAACCCUCCACACGACCCCCAGCGUCCCUCCGGCAAGCCGCGCCGCGCCGUCGCAGCUUGAUCGAGGCCGGAGGAGUGACGUCCGCACUUUUUCUGGGUUGCGGACGUCGGCUCUCGAACGGCUCCG
rnacentral:lncRNA from 1 species